AAAUUGAAGAGUUUGAUCAUGGCUCAGAUUGAACGCUGGCGGCAGGCCUAACACAUGCAAGUCGAACGGUAACAGGAAGCAGCUUGCUGCUUCGCUGACGAGUGGCGGACGGGUGAGUAAUGUCUGGGAAACUGCCUGAUGGAGGGGGAUAACUACUGGAAACGGUGGCUAAUACCGCAUAACGUCGCAAGACCAAAGAGGGGGACCUUCGGGCCUCUUGUCAUCAGAUGUGCCCAGAUGGGAUUAGCUUGUUGGUGAGGUAACGGCUCACCAAGGCGACGAUCCCUAGCUGGUCUGAGAGGAUGACCAGCCACACUGGAACUGAGACACGGUCCAGACUCCUACGGGAGGCAGCAGUGGGGAAUAUUGCACAAUGGGCGCAAGCCUGAUGCAGCCAUGCCGCGUGUAUGAAGAAGGCCUUCGGGUUGUAAAGUACUUUCAGCGGGGAGGAAGGCGAUACGGUUAAUAACCGUAUU
rnacentral:rRNA from 1 species